rnacentral:snRNA from 1 species
GUGCUUGCUUUGGCAGCAUAUAUACUAAAAUUGGAACGAUACACAGAAGAUUAGCAUGGCCCCUGCACAAGAAUGACAUACAAAUUCGUGAAGCGUUUCAUAUUAAA